rnacentral:rRNA from 1 species
AGAACGAACGCUGGCGGCAGGCUUAACACAUGCAAGUCGAGCGCCCCGCAAGGGGAGCGGCAGACGGGUGAGUAACGCGUGGGAACAUACCCUCCGGUUCGGAAUAGCUCAGGGAAACUUGGAUUAAUACCGGAUACGGCCUAGCGGCGAAAGAUUGAUCGCCGGAGGAUUGGCCCGCGUCUGAUUAGCUAGUUGGUGGGGUAAUGGCCCACCAAGGCGACGAUCAGUAGCUGGUCUGAGAGGAUGAUCAGCCACAUUGGGACUGAGACACGGCCCAAACUCCUACGGGAGGCAGCAGUGGGGAAUAUUGGACAAUGGGCGCAAGCCUGAUCCAGCCAUGCCGCGUGAGUGAUGACGGCCUUAGGGUUGUAAAGCUCUUUCGCUAGGGACGAUAAUGACGGUACCUAGACAAGAAGCCCCGGCUAACUUCGCGCCAGCAGCCGC